AUUGAACGCUGGCGGCAGGCCUAACACAUGCAAGUCGAGCGGAGCGGCGGACGGGUGAGUAAUGCCUAGGAAUCUGCCUGGUAGUGGGGGAUAACGUCCGGAAACGGGCGCUAAUACCGCAUACUAUCAGAUGAGCCUAGGUCGGAUUAGCUAGUGGGUGGGGUAAAGGCCUACCAAGGCGACGAUCCGUAACUGGUCUGAGAGGAUGAUCAGUCACACUGGAACGGAGACACGGCCCAGACUCCUACGGGAGCCAGCAGUUUGGAAUAUUGGACAAUGGGCGAAAGCCUGACCCGACUAUGCAGCGUGUGUGAAGAAGGUCUUCCGAUGUUAAAGCAUGUUAAGUUGGGAGGCGUUACCUACAGAAUAAGUACCGGCUAACUUCGUGCCAGCUGCCGCGGUAAUUC
rnacentral:rRNA from 1 species